rnacentral:tRNA from 1 species
GCCGAAGUGGUGAAAUUGGCAAACACGCACGGUUCAGGGCCGUGUGGGCGAAAGCCCUUGGGGGUUCAAAUCCCCCCUUCGGCAC